CUCUUUUUGAUAAUAAUUUAAAGUAGGGCCUGCCCACUGAAUUUUUAAAGGGCCGCAGUAUUUUGACUGUGCAAAGGUAGCAUAAUCAUUAGUUUUUUAAUUGAAAGCUUGUAUGAAUGGUUUGAUGAAAAAAUAACUUUCUAUGUUUAAAUUUUUAAAAAUUUUAUUUUUAAGUUAAAAAGCUUAAAUUUUUUUAAUAGACGAGAAGACCCUAUAGAGUUUAAUUUUAAUAAAUUUUUAAAUUUAUAGAAUUAAGAAAUUUUAAAUUUUAUUAUAAUUUGGUUGGGGUGACUGAAAAAUUUAAUGAACUUUUUUUAUUUAUAUACAUAGAUUUAUGAUAAUUUGAUCCAUUAAAAUGAUUAAAAGAAUAAAUUACCUUAGGGAUAACAGCGUUAUUUUUUUUUAGAGUUCAAAUCGAAAAAAGAGAUUGCGACCUCGAUGUUGGAUUAAAGUAAAUUUUAGGUGUAGAAGCUUAAAAAUUUGGUCUGUUCGACCAUUAAAACUUUACAUGAUCUGAGUUUAAACCGGUGUAAGCCAGGUUGGUUUCUAUCUUUAUUUAGUUAAUAAAUUUUAGUACGAAAGGACCAAAUUUAUAAUUAAAAAUUUUUUUAUUGAAUAAAAUUAUUAUUUUGGCAGAAUAGUGCGUUAGAUUUAGAAUCUUAACAUGUAUUUUUAUACAAAUAAUAAUAGAUUUAAUUUUAAUAAUAUUAGUUUUAAUUAUUUUAUUAGUAAGAGUGUUAGUAGGGGUUGCUUUUUUAACUUUAUUAGAACGUAAGGUUUU
rnacentral:rRNA from 1 species